UACGUAGGGGGCGAGCGUUGUCCGGAUUUAUUGGGCGUAAAGAGCUCGUAGGCGGCUUGGCAAGUCGGGUGUGAAACCUCCAGGCUCAACCUGGAGACGCCACUCGAUACUGCCAUGGCUAGAGUCCGGUAGGGGACCACGGAAUUCCUGGGUGUAGCGGUGAAAUGCGCAGAUAUCAGGAGGAACACCGGUGGCGAAGGCGGUGGUCUGGGCCGGCACUGACGCUGAGGAGCGAAAGCGUGGGGAGCGAACAGG
rnacentral:rRNA from 1 species